rnacentral:rRNA from 1 species
GAAAGAUUUAUCGCCAAAGGAUUGGCCCGCGUUGGAUUAGGUAGUUGGUGGGGUAAUGGCCUACCAAGCCGACGAUCCAUAGCUGGUUUGAGAGGAUGAUCAGCCACACUGGGACUGAGACACGGCCCAGACUCCUACGGGAGGCAGCAGUGGGGAAUCUUAGACAAUGGGCGCAAGCCUGAUCUAGCCAUGCCGCGUGAUCGAUGAAGGCCUUAGGGUUGUAAAGAUCUUUCAGUGGGGAAGAUAAUGACGGUACCCACAGAAGAAGCCCCGGCUAACUCCGUGCCAGCAGCCGCGGUAAUU